GAUGAACGCUGGCGGCGUGCCUAAUACAUGCAAGUCGAGCGAACAGACGAGGAGCUUGCUCCCCUGACGUUAGCGGCGGACGGGUGAGUAACACGUGGAUAACCUACCUAUAAGACUGGGAUAACUUCGGGAAACCGGAGAUAAUACCGGAUAAUAUAUUGAACCGCAUGGUUCAAUAGUGAAAGACGGUUUUGCUGUCACUUAUAGAUGGAUCCGCGCCGCAUUAGCUAGUUGGUAAGGUAACGGCUUACCAAGGCAACGAUGCGUAGCCGACCUGAGAGGGUGAUCGGCCACACUGGAACUGAGACACGGUCCAGACUCCUACGGGAGGCAGCAGUGGGGAAUCUUCGACAAUGGGCGAAAGCCUGAUCGAGCCAUGCCGCGUGAGUGAAGAAGGUCUUCGGGUUGUAAAACCCUUUUGUUGGGAAAGAAAAGAAGUGGGUUAAUACACCCCCGUUCUGACGGUACCUAAAGAAAAAGCCCCGGCUAACUUCGUG
rnacentral:rRNA from 1 species